rnacentral:rRNA from 1 species
AUUGAACGCUGGCGGCAGGCCUAACACAUGCAAGUCGAACGAGUGGAGGGCGGGUGAGUAAGGUAUGGGAAACUGCCCGAUAGAGGGGGAUAACUAGUGGAAACGAUAGCUAAUACCGUGUACCAUCGGAUGUGCCCAGAUGGUAUUAGAUGGUAGGGUGGGUAAUGGCUCACCUAGGCGACGAUCCCUAGCGGGUCUGAGAGGAUGAUCAGCCACACUGGAACUGAGACACGGCCCAGACUCCUACGUGAGGCAGCAGUAGGGAAUCUUGCACAAUGGGCGAAAGCCUGAUGCAGCAAUGCCGCGUGUAUGAAGAAGGCCUUCGGGUUGUAAAGUACUUUCAGUGGGGAGGCGUUACCCACAGAAGAAGCACCGGCUAACUACGUGCCAGCCGCCGCGGUAAUAC